rnacentral:rRNA from 1 species
UAACCUGCCCAAGAGAUCGGGAUAACACCUGGAAACAGAUGCUAAUACCGGAUAACAACAGAUGAUGCCUAUCAACUGUUUAAAAGAUGGUUCUGCUAUCACUCUUGGAUGGACCUGCGGUGCAUUAGCUAGUUGGUAGGGUAACGGCCUACCAAGGCGAUGAUGCAUAGCCGAGUUGAGAGACUGAUCGGCCUACAUUGGGACUGAGACACGGCCCAAACUCCUACGGGAGGCAGCAGUG